UACGUAGGGGGCAAGCGUUGUCCGGAAUCAUUGGGCGUAAAGAGCGUGUAGGCGGCCCGAUAAGUCCGCUGUGAAAGUCCAGGGCUCAACCCUGGAAUGCCGGUGGAUACUGUCGGGCUCGAGUUCGGAAGAGGUGAGUGGAAUUCCUGGUGUAGCGGUGAAAUGCGCAGAUAUCAGGAGGAACACCAAUGGCGAAGGCAGCUCACUGGGACGAUACUGACGCUGAGGCGCGAAAGCUAGGGGAGCAAACGGG
rnacentral:rRNA from 1 species